GCCGGGCGCGGUGGCGCGUGCCUGUAGUCCCAGCUACUCGGGAGGCUGAGGCUGGAGGAUCCCUUGAGUUCAGGAGUUCUGGGCUGUAGUGCGCUAUGCCGAUCGGGUGUCCGCACUGAGUUCGGCAUCAAUAUGGUGACCUCCCGGGAGCGGGGGACCACCAGGUUGCCUAAGGAGGGGUGAACCGGCCCAGGUCGGAAACGGAGCAGGUCAAAACUCCCGUGCUGAUCAGUAGUGGGAUCGCGCCUGUGAAUAGCCACUGCACUCCAGCCUGGGCAACAUAGUGAGACCCUGCCUCU
ensembl:misc_RNA Metazoa_SRP Metazoan signal recognition particle RNA